rnacentral:rRNA from 1 species
GACGAACGCUGGCGGCGUGCCUAAUACAUGCAAGUAGAACGCAGUUGCGAACGGGUGAGUAACGCGUAGGUAACGGCCUCUUAACGGGGGAUAACUAUUGGAAACGUAAGCUAAUACCCCAUACUGUGAGAUGUACCUGCGUUGUGUUAGCUAGUUGGUGCGGUAAAGGCCCACCAAGGCGACGAUACAUAGCCGACCUGAGGGGGUGGUCGGCAAAACUGGGACUGAGACACGGCCCAGACUCCUAAGGGAGGCAUCAGGAGGGAAUCAUUGGCAAUGGAGGGAAGGCUGACCGAGCAACGCCGCGGGAGUGAAGAAGGUUUUUGGAGUGUAAAGCUAUGUUGUUAGAGAAGCGGUACCUAACCAGAAAGGGACGGCUAACUACGUGCCAGCAGCCGCGGUAAUAC